AAUGAACGUUGGCGGCGUGGAUUAGGCAUGCAAGUCGCGCGACAAGGAACCUUCGGGUUCUGGAGGAGCGGCAAACGGGGUAGUAAGGCAUCGGAACGUACCCUCUUGUUGGGAAUAGCCGCGGGAAACUGCGAGUAAUGCCCAAUAAUCCCUACGGGGCAAAGGUCCGCCGCAGGAGGAGCGGCCGAUGUGAUACCAGCUAGUUGGUGAGGUAAUGGCUCACCAAGGCUUAGACGUCUAGGGGGUGUGAGAGCAUGGCCCCCACCACUGGGACUGAGAUACUGCCCAGACUCCUACGGGAGGCAGCAGUGGGGAAUUUUGGACAAUGGGCGCAAGCCUGAUCCAGCCAUGCCGCGUGCGGGACGAAGGCCU
rnacentral:rRNA from 1 species